GACGAACGCUGGCGGCGUGCUUAACACAUGCAAGUCGAACGGAAAGGCCCUGCUUUUGUGGGGUGCUCGAGUGGCGAACGGGUGAGUAACACGUGAGUAACCUACCCUUGACUUUGGGAUAACUUCAGGAAACUGGGGCUAAUACCGGAUAGGAGCUCCUGCUGCAUGGUGGGGGUUGGAAAGUUUCGGCGGUUGGGGAUGGACUCGCGGCUUAUCAGCUUGUUGGUGGGGUAGUGGCUUACCAAGGCUUUGACGGGUAGCCGGCCUGAGAGGGUGACCGGCCACAUUGGGACUGAGAUACGGCCCAGACUCCUACGGGAGGCAGCAGUGGGGAAUAUUGCACAAUGGGCGGAAGCCUGAUGCAGCAACGCCGCGUGCGGGAUGACGGCCUUCGGGUUGUAAACCGCUUUCGCCUGUGACGAAGCGUGAGUGACGGUAAUGGGUAAAGAAGCACCGGCUAACCACGUG
rnacentral:rRNA from 1 species